AACGAACGCUGGCGGCGCGUCUUAAACAUGCAAGUCGAACGAUCUGUAGCAAUACAGGGAGUGGCGGACGGGUGAGGAACACGUAGGAAUCUACCUUGAAGAGCGGGACAACUUUGGGAAACCGGGGCUAAUACCGCAUAGUACAGAGAUGUUAAAGGGCUAGCAAUAGUCGCUUCGAGAUGAGCCUGCGGUCUAUCAGCUUGUUGGUGAGGUAAUGGCUCACCAAGGCUACGACGGAUAGCCGGUCUGAGAGGAUGAUCGGCCACACUGGCACUGAGACACGGGCCAGACUCCUACGGGAGGCAGCAGUUAAGAAUCUUGCGCAAUGGGGGAAACCCUGACGCAGCGACGCCGCGUGAAGGAUGAAGGCUUUCGGGUUGUAAACUUCGGUAGACUGGAAGAAGAAUACGUUCGUUGAGGCAUAUAGUGACGGUACCAGUCUGAAGCCCCGGCUAAUUACGU
rnacentral:rRNA from 1 species